GUCACUCGGUGUCCUGGGGUGAGAUGUGCCGCCCCAUGUGUUGACAAGGGACCAUGCUGUGACCUUCGGUGUCUCCCAGCUGGCUCAUGUGUCUCACCCCUCCCUCCUCUGCAGAGCGCCCCUUUGGCGACCUGUUCCCCAGCACCAGGCAGGACGGGGCCAAGAGCUUCGACCUCGCCAACCUGGCUGACUCCCUGCCUGAAUCCGGCAAGGAGCGCAAGGACUGUAAAACCCCCGAGGCCUUUCUGGGCCCCGCCGCUCUCCCUGGUAACCUGGACUCCCUGGUCGCACUACUCCAGCCUCCAAGACCCGCAACCCUUUCCUCUCGGGUCUGAGCACGCCGUCCCCCACCAACCCCUUCAGCCUGUCCGAGCAGCCCAAGCCGACACUGAACCAGAUGCGGACCAGCUCGCCGGUGCCCGGCCUGCCCGCCGGCCACCCCGCCAACUCCAUGACCUACAGCGCGUCCCUGCCGCUGCCCCUCAGCAGCGUCCCCGCCGCCACCGCUGCCCUCCCCGCCUCCGCCAGUGCCUUCCCGCAGGCUGGCGCCUUCCCCGAACUCCCCAGCACCUUGCCGCAGCCUUUACUGCCGCUGAGCGGCCCCCCGGCCCCGCCGUCCGCGCCCGGGGGGCUCAACCCCUUCCUCUGAACCCUCUGGACAUGUGAACUGUCGCCCUUUCCCCAGCUGUUACGAUCCCCCCCGAAUCUUUCCUUCCACCAAGACUUGGGGGUUUGCUAAGCUGCACGGGAGGGUGCCCCCCACCCAGCCCCCUCUCCGUGCCCAGUGUGGGGGGCAGCCAGCAUGAGCCCCCGCGCUCCACGGGCAACCGGGGACCCCUUCCCGUGCGAGGGCCGGCGUGGGGGGCCACGGUGGGGCUGGCUGGGGGGCAGCCAGCAUGAGCCCCGGUGCUUGGUGGGCAGAAGGGAACCCCCUUCCCGUGUGAGGGGCCAUGGCGGGGCCCUUACCAAGGGCUGCGGUGCGGGGGCUGCGGUGCGGGCUCCUCACGGCACGGGGUCCGGCUGCUGGAUGGACCCGGCAUGAGGAGGGGGCUUUGGCCGGGCUCCUGCGGGGAGCUGGAGCGCGGGGCCGGGGGUGGAGCUGGGGUCUCCCACCCGCCGGUUCGCGCUCCCUCGCUGCUCCCCCCCGCCCGCUGCUGGGCACCGCCCGGGUGCGGGGGGCGGCGGCGGCGGCGGCUGCGGGUGCCCGUGCGACAAUAAACUGCGCUGAG
rnacentral:lncRNA from 1 species